ACAAAGGGGCUAGAAAAGUUAAAAACAAAAACAGUGUUGAAAGAUGUUUAGUACCUAAUUUUAAGACUUCUUUUAAAGCUGCUGUAAUCAAGGCAGUGUUGGUGUAAGGAAAGACAUAUAGAUCAUUGGAAUAAAACAGAGAAUAUCAAAAUAGAACCACACAUAUAUGGUCUACUGAGUUUUGAAAGAUUUUUUAACAUUAACAUUUUAUAGAAUAUAAACUCAAUUCAAGAGCUGAGGAAAAGAUAGUGUUUUCAGCAAACGCACUAGAACACCUGGUAUCCGUAUAUAAAAAAUUAAUCUCAAUCAUUUAUUUCCAUACAUGAAAAUAACUUGGAGGGAUCUAUGAACCUAAAUAUGAAAGUCUAAAAGUAUAAAACUUUAACAGGAAAUUAUAAGGGAAAAUGUUUAUGAAUUUAGGGUAGGCAAGAACUAACUAGGAUACAAAAGACAUGAUGUACAAAAGAAAAAAAUUGAUAAAUGAGAUUCCAUCAAAAUUUAGAACUUUGAAUGACAUAAUUAAAAUGAAAAGUAGUCCUUAAACAGACCAUAUUUCCAAUACAUAUAACCUCUGACCAGAAUAUAUAAAGAACUCUUACAGCUCAUUAAUAGACAACCCAAUUAAAAAGUGGACAUAAGAAGAGAAUAAAUAGCCAGUAUAGCACAAGGAAAGGUGUGCAGCUCUAGAAUCAGAAAAAUACUAAUCAAUACAAUAACAAGAUUGAAUUAUACACUCAUUAGGGAGAUGAAGUUACAAGUUUUAUAGCCUUGUCAUGACUCUGUCUUUUUUGUUGGAUUCUCCCCCUUUGCAUUUAAUUUGUCACACCGAAUGGAUUCAUUCUGCUGGGUUUCCUGGAGUUGUGAUCCUCAUUGUCUUUUCCUAAGGUAUUGGCUAAAAUUUUUUGGAGUGCCGGUUUGGUAUUCAUGAAGUUCCUGAGGUGCUCUUUGUCAUGAAAGUAUCUUAUUUCUCCAUCAAUUUUGAAAGAUAGUUUUGCAAGGUACAUCAAUCUGGGUUGCAGGCUGUUUUCUUUUAGAGAAAGAAGUAUAAAUUUGAUACCAGGAUUAAGUAGAAGUUUCACUAAUAUUCUUUUCUUUACUCAAGGUAUAUUGACUCUUGCUAAAAGAAUUUGUGAUGAAAAUAAAUGAAUAUGCGAGGUAACUAUAGAAUUUAAUUGAACCAAUGCCAAAAUUUCUCAAAAUGGUUUUGUCUGAAUUGCUUCCUUUCAAAAAUGAAGGUAUUUGGGCAGAUAACCUUUAAAGUAGCCAGUUCUAACAUGUUAUGACACUUCAACAGUACCUACUUUGGAUAUUUCAAUAAAAGCCUAACUCUGUUUCCUCUGAAUUAUAGAUAUGUGUAUUCUUACACAUAUCUUUGGAAAUUAUAUCAUUUUUAAAACUUAUUUACUAUAUGAUUAUCUUAUAUUUUCUUAAUAUAAAAUAAUUCUUAAACCAAAUAAUUUUUUUUAUUUUUUGGUACCAGGGAUUGAACUCAGGACCUUGCACUUGCCAGGCAGAUGCAGUGCCACUGAGCCAUGUCCCUGGCCCAAAAUAAUUAUUUUUAUAUCUCCUGCAUUAUUAAACUAAAUAGUAGUAUUUGCUCAUUCACAAGUAAGUAUUGACCAUUCAAUUUAUUCCAUUUACUUUCAAAAAAUGAUGAGGAGGAGGAUGAAGAUUCUUUGAGAUGAUGGUUGAACAAAGGCCUGAAUUACUUAAAGUUGUGAAUCAGAGACACAUUUAAAGACACAAUCAUCCCAGACAAAGAAAAACUACACAUAAAGGCUCUGAGCCAUAGUUGGCCUGAUGUAAAUAUUAUGAGUAAGGAUCAGAGAGAUAGUGAGGGCUUUAGAUUUGUAAAAAUUUUCAAUUUUGAUUUUUCUCUGAGAGAAAUGAUGUCUUUGGAAGUUUUUGAGGAGAAAAGCAAAAUAUUUUGAAAUAUUCAUUCUGUGCCACCAUUUUUCUAACAGCACUGUGGACAGUCUAGCACAUCAGUUUUACUGUGGGCAGCUCUCUUAUGUCUUGUGAAAUGUUUAGGAGCAUGGUAGGCUUUAUUCAUUAGAUGCUUGUACACCCCAACACACAGUUUGGAUAAGCAAAACAUGUCUCCAGACAUUGCCAAAUGUUCCUGGCUCACACCAACUGGAAACCACUGGGCUAUGUCUUGUGAAGAAAAUAAAAUUAUGGUGAUCAAAUACAAAAGGAGAGAACUCAAUUGGGAAGUUUUUAGGGAAAAAUGAUGGUGUUUAAGAAAGAAUAACCUGGGUGACAAUAAGAACUAUCCAGUUUGGGGCUGUAGUAAUGAAAGGACAAAAACAUUUUAAAACAUUUGGUUGUGAAAUGUUUGAAAAUUACAGAAGCCAUACAGUGCAAUCUUGAAAAGAUCUAGAGACUUUUAAGGUAGAGAAAAGGAAACUAAUAUUGAAUUGGCAAGAAGACCAAGGAAGAUCUCUCCCAUCACUAGGUCUUUGAAAUUUGAAUAGUAAGAUAGAAAAUAGCACCACUGGAAAUAUUUAUGGAGAUGGCCAUGUCCUUGAGGUCAGCUAAUGUAACCCUUCAGAAAGAGGAUGAAGAAAACAAAGAUGUGAGUUUUAAAGAAUCUUAGCCAAUGGACCCAUUGUGACUACAGACUUGGUGGAAUGGUUGAGGAUUUAUGAGUGCUUAUGAAGUGGUUCAUAUUUGGAGGAACACAGAUAUAUAUGGAGACAAAAGCCUGCAUGAAUAAAGGAUAACUGGGGAGUCUAGGGGUCUUUGGAAUGUAGAGCAAACCUGAAUGUUAACAAGAACUUUUCCUCUAAAUUCUGAUGGUGAAGCUAAAGCUAAAGUCGAUUGGGUGAACAGCGGACAACACUUCACCAGAAACUCAAGAAGAUUGAAGAAUCUCCUCUUGGUCAUACUAAUAUUACUAUGAUUGCAUGCAAUAUCCAGAAAAUAUCUGUGUGGUUUCUUAGGUACCACAGGCAAGUCCUUCCAUUAUUUUCCUCCAGCUUAUGGUAAGCAAUUAGCCAACCAUGGCUUAUCAACAGGGAAAAAUACAAUUAUUUUUAGAUUCUUAAGUAAAAUCAUUGUUUUAAUAAUUUAAAAGAAAAUGUUGCAUUACUAGAAAAAACUCUUCCAUCACCAUGAAAAUUUGAUUAAUUAUAACCAAUUAUAAGUGCAUUUAGCAUUGUGAACCACAAUUUAUACUAUUAAUAUUUAACAUGACAACUACAAAACUACAAAAUAAAAUGCAGAAAUUUUUGUCUCUGGUUUUAUAGACAAAAGAGGUCAAGGUUUAAAUGAGUAGAAUAAAUUGAUUUUAAGCUCUAGCUCUUCCAAUAAAAGUUCAGCCUAAUUAAGUAUAACAGCUACAGCUUUAGAUAAAUGUAAAACAUUCAGUAGGAAUUUUGACAGAAAUGUAUUUGCCACAAAUUGGAUGUAGCUAUGAUGUGUAGAGUUGGAAAGAAAUGUAAUGAGCUGUUAACAGACAUUUUUAACUGAGGAAAUAUGAAUUGCAUUUGGCCACAUUUUCCAUCUGUUACAAUGAGUUACACAAGACUGAUAAAGCAGAUUAAGCACAGUUAUCUGGCAAGAAGUUAUAUUAAAUUAUGUGUACCAGUAUGAAAAGCUACUCUUAAACUCCAGUGAACUGAUUUGAAGAUCAUUUCUUUUCUCUUUGCAUGCUAAAGGGAAAUGACUUUGUAGACCUUACAUAGGAAAAGUUUGUGCCAGAAAAAGCCUGACAAUUGUGGUUGGCCUGCAGACCAGAGCAACUUUGAAAAGCACAAAGUAGGACAAAGGAAGAAAGAAGUGUGAAAAUUUUAUAACCUUGUGGUUCAUCCUGCCUUUAGUGUGUUACACAUGUAAGCAAAUUUCAUUAACUCAGAUGUUUCUUCAAAUCUAGUUUAAUUAGUGUUUUUAAUCCAAUCAAAUUGGGUGUCACAAUUAAUCAUUACACCUUCUUAGUAAAAAAUAUUAAAAAUAGUAAAGUCUCUAUUGUGCCAUAGUAUUUCUAGAACAGUCAACAGAAAUAAUGAAGGUAUAGUAUUAAAUUUCUGUGUAUGACAAAAAUAAUGUUGUGUUGGUUGCUUUUAAAUUAAUUCAUAAUGUUGCAUGUAUUUCUUUGUGAUUUGUUUUUUAUAUUCAAUAAUUUAUCAGGUCACAUUUUAUUAUAUGUACAUCCAAAACUAUUUCAUUAAUAUAGAUACUUUUACCUGUAAAAGGAUGUGCUGUAGUAGAUAUGUCCUAUAGAUGUUUAAAGUUCUACAACAAAGUGACCAUUCUUGCUAACAUGCCAAGGAGUUGUUCUCGAGUACACAUUGAUAGAAGUUAUUGCUAUUUCAUAGGAAAUGCACAGAUUUUAUUUAAAUAGAUGAUUUACAAAUGCUGUGCCAAAUUGGAUCAAUUUUUAUUAACACCUAUAUUAGACGAAAGUGCCUAUUUCCCAAUCUGUGCUUCGUCUAAAUUGUGAGAAUUUGAUUACAAUUUCUGUAAUCUGAUUUCCCGUGAGACUGAAAUUGAGCAUUUUUACUGGGGAUAUUUGCUAUUUUAUUUCUUCUUACCUGGAUUGCUUAUUCACCAUUACUACUAUUUCUCUGAUUUUUAAAUAUUUUAAUAGGUGGACAUUAUUUGUCUAGUGCAUAUGAUAUACAUUUUCUAAUUUAUCAAAUUACUAUCAAUUUUUUAUUGUGCAAAAUUUUUUUUACUGUUUUGAUGGGACAUAUUUCUCAUUUCUCUGGUGGCUUUCUCUAUUUCUUACAGAAUUUUGCCCUGUUCAAAAGGCAUAAUCUUCUUAAUUAGCCUAAUAUUUACUUUGAAUUUAAUUUUAUAACUGUAAUUCAUUUGAAUUUUUUGUUUAUGAUGGUGUUAAGGGCCUAAUUCAGUUUUAACAUAUCAACAAUUGUAUAGGUUUUUCUUCACUCUUAACAAUUUGAAAUAUUUUUCCAUAUUUCAAAAACUAAGAUAUUUAUUUAUAUAUACUUUAUCAUUUAAUCUGAUACUGUGAUGCAAUCAUUAAGCAUUGAUUCAUUUAUUAAUUCCAGCGCCAACAUCAUUGUGUUUAAUUGCUAUGACAUUAUGUAAAGUGAGGCAAGUCCAGUCUUUUACUCUUUUCAUUUAUUCCAAAAUAUCAUUAGCUAUAUAUAAACCUUUAUCGUUCCUUAUGCAUUUUUGAAUUGCAUUCAAUGAAAUAGUAGUCUCAGAAUUUUUUUGCUCCUACACCACAUUUAGAGACAAUUUUAGAUGAAAAAUAACCCUUUAUAACAUUUGAGUGUAUCAAGAUUUCUGUUAUAGUUUACAUUUUCCUUAUAAAGACAUAUUCUUACUUAUGUAUGAGUAUAUCCAUAUAAAUUAAUUUCUUAUGUUGUAAUUAUAAAUUAUAAAUAUUUAUUUUGCAUGCAGCAUCUUCAUGAAUUUUCUUUGUAGUUUUAGUAGCUUAUUUUAUUAGUAGAUUUAUGUGAUUAGACUGCUAGUUAGAAAAUUGUCUUUAUAUAGGAAAUAGACAAGUUCUUCUCAUGAGUAUUACAUUCAUGCUAUUUAUUUUUUAAUGGUAUUGACUACAAACAUAAGAAACAAUGAUGGUCCUUAGUAAUUAUAACUAGCCAGCUGUCCAUCAGAGCUGAUUACCUUAAGUAAAUAUUGGCCUACACUGAAGGCAAUUUACAUGUUUUUGUUAAGUAACAGAAUUUUAAUAUUUAGCUAUUUUGAGCAGCUAACUCUAGUAACAAUGACUAAAAAAGACAUGUCUUUAAUUUCAGUUAAUAGGCUUCUGAGAUUUCAUCAUCCAUUAUGUGCAUUAUCAUCCAAUAUGUGCAAAUAUGCUUACUGCAUGUUUUUGUGUAAAUUUAUGAAAUUUUCGUAUGUAAUUAAUCACCUAACAAUUUUGAACAUGAAUAGUGACUAAGGCUUAAAUGAAAUUAUUUGGGAUUCUCCUGACAUGAUUUAAGAUUUCCUUCAUAUCUGAAAGUUUAUGUUCUUGGUGGAUGAAUUUAAUCCUUUCACAUGCAUAAUUGCUGAUGGUUUUAGAUUUUCUUUUAUGUUUUCCAUUUUAUUUUUAGUUCUUUUCUAGUUUUUUGUAAAUAGUGUAGAAGCAUACUCAGUGCAUAAAAUACACUUCCUGCAAUACUGGCCAACAUAUUACUAAAAUUAGUAAUAAAUUUUUGUGUUAUUCGUUAUUUAUUAACAAUUUGACCAAUACCAUUGUAAAUGUGUUUAGAAAAAUCAGUAAUUCUUGUAAUAUAAAAUUAUUCACUAAUAUACUCUUAAAAAAAUUCACUGUUUGAUUGUAGUUUGGUAUUUAUUGCUGUAUAUCAAGCAAAUAUCUUUAUCUGUAAGUAUGAUAUCUUUAUCUGAAUCAUUCUACACCUAUGAUAACAAUAAUUUGCCAUAGUAGAUUUCUGAUUAUUAUUCUACAUUUUGCCACAAUUGUCACUAAUUUGUAUUGCACCUGAAAACUGGCAAAUAUAUAUUUUUUCAUUAAUUUUAUUGGUACAUUUUAGGCAUGUAAUAUGAUGACAUUCAUCAUUAGGAAUUUGUACCUUUACAUUAUGUAUCUUGAUUCUUAUUUUUUCCAAUACACUGGUGUCUAGGCAGGGCCUUAUCCAGGGCCUUCGUGCCCCUGCCACUGCUGUCUGGGCAGGCUUCUGGCUGGGGUCUGUUCAUACUUACUAGUGGUAUCUGGGCAGACCUCUGGCUGGGGCCUGCACACCUGCACAGCUGCUGUCCCAGACAGCUUCUCUGUUUUUUGGUUGGCUUGUUUUGUUUACUUUUUUGAGACAGGGUCUUGCUGUGUAGUUCAGGUUGACCUUGAAUUAACUAUGUAGCCCAAGUUGUCUUCGAACUCACAGAAAUCAUUCUGCCUCAGUCUUUGAAAUGCUGGGAUUUUAGGCAUGUAUCACCACACCUGGCAGCAGACCAUCCAGGAUAUUGUCCAAAUAUCAAAUAUUUAACUUAAUCCCUCAACAGAAUAUCUUUUACCAUAUAAAGAAAUACAUUCACUUGAGAUUCUAAGAACUAAGACACAGGCAUGUUUGCUGAUCAUUAUUCAAUUUAUCAUUCCUUCAUGGAUUAUUGAAGUCAGUUUUACUGCCAUAAAAUUGACAAGUGUUUAUCAAAUGCAUAUUGAUUGCUCCAGUUUUAGUAAAAAUUCCACUGAAUAUACCAAGGUGUCACAGAAAAAAUAGUUUGGAGGAAUAUCUAAUAAUAAAUAUUGAUAAGUUUAAUAUAUAUAAAAAUAUUGGCUGUUGUUGAAAAACUUCUUCAAAUUAUUUUUGUGUUAAAUCAUCUGCUUGCUAAUUUAUGCAUGGCUAUUGAUUAAUUGUGUGUUGUAAAAGAUCUUAUGCUAUUAGUACAAAGAAAGUAGAACCAAAGGUCAAUUUGUUAGUUGCCCUAAGGGAAAAGGGAAGAGCACCAGAUUUGUUUCUUAUAUUUGUAAUUUUUAAAUAGUAAGUAGAACAUAAUCAGGUUGAUCAUAAACAACAGAAACUUGUCUACAGUUGAGUCUUUAUAUUUAAACUAAAAUGUUCUUCCUAUCUUACUCAUACUACAAAACAUGAGCUUCUCAAGUGGUCUGAGCAAUUUUUAAUCCCAGCUCUCUCCAUUUUACCCAUCUUGCUAUUUUCUGCCUGCUUAGCCUAUUCCUUGAUCUUUCUAGCCCUCAGUCCUGUUCUCAGCUUCAUUGGCUUCUCAAGGUUCUCUGUCUGCCUGGAACGUUUACUUAACAGAUAUUUACUGAAGUCCCUAUAUCUCACUUAGAGCUUUUCAAGUACUGCAAUAUUAGUUACAGGUUCCCUGGGUAUCCUGGAAAAAUAACAAUACCAACGUCACCAUCUAUUUGACCUUUACCGUACUGUCAUUAUUUUUUUUUAAUUACUGAUGGUGGGCCAGGGAUUUAGCUCAGGGGUUCCACUGCCUGACUUAUAAGCAAAAAGUUCCAAGUUCAAUCCCUGGGACCAAAAAAAAAAAAAAGAAGAGUAAAUUAAUGGUAGUAUUUAUGCAUCUAGUUCAUAUAUUGUCUGUCUAACUUUGCUACUUUCAUUUUCAUAUCUCCAAUGCCUAGCAAAAUAUCCAAGGAAUGUUGGUUCAAUCGAGUUGAGAAUUAUUUUAGUACGUCUCUAAAUAGUGAUCAUGUUUAAUGCUUUAAAAUAUGAAUUCCACCAAUCUGCAGAACAAAAUUGUUAUGACCAUUGUGUCAGUGAGAAAACUGGUAAUGUAAAAUUAAGGUACAAUAUUAUUAAAAAAAUGAAUACAAAAUAUAAUUUCUGUGAAUCCUCUCAGUUCCAAUUGUUUUCCCCAUUAAGUUUAUUGGUACAUUUUAGGUAUAAAAUAUAGUUACAUUCAUCAUUGGGAUCUUGUACCAUUACAUGAGUAUCUUGGUUCUUAUUAUUUUUUCCCUCCCCUUGCCCUCCCUUCACACCCUCCACCUUUCCCUAUUUGCAAAGACCUUGUUUCCAUUUUUUUUCCUCUUCUAAUUUUUUUCCUUUCCCUUUUUUCCCUUCCCCUACCCCUCCCAAUUCCCCUGCUCUUUUAGACCUUUUCUUCCUGUUACACAAUAUCAGUUAUAUAUUUUUUAACUUACAUUAUUAAGAUCUAGGAGACAUUACCACAGAUUUUAUAGAAUUUAAAAGGAUAUAGAAAGCAUAUUACAAAAAUCUUUUUUUGAAAUAAAUUUGACAACUUCUAAGAAGUACCUUGGAAGAUAAAUUAAUGAAACUAACUCUGGAGGAAAUAUGAAAUUUGAAUAGCACCUAAUAAAGAAAGUAUAUUCUUAGCUUGAAAACUUACCUAUAUGACAACAGCAGGCUCAUAAAUGUUUUAACUGAUAAAUUAUAUCAAACAAUUAAAGCAGAAAAAAGAGAAACACUUCUCCCCUCAUUUUAGGAACUCAACAUUGUGCUAAUCCUAAAACCGGAUAAACAUAAUAGAAGAAAAAAGUAUGAACAUAGAUAGACAUUUGUUUAACAAAACAAACUAUUAGAAGUCAGAUCUGGCAGUAUGUAGAAAGUAGUUUUGUUAUAGGGAUGGCAGUGUUGGUUCAGCAUUGGAAGAUCCACCCCCAAAACUCAUCAUUUAAACAGAGAAAAGGAAAAAGCCAUAUGAUUCUGUCACUAGUUGGAGAAAAAGUAUUGGACUCAAUUCCACAGCUGUUCAUGGUAAAAGCUAUCAGGAGACUAGAAGUAGAACAGAAACUUCUCAACAGAUUAAAGACAUGUACUCCAUACUUCCAGUGAGAAUGCCUUAUAUAAAUGGAGAAGAUACAAUGCUUUCUCCUUAAGGUGGGGAACAAGGGCAGAUAUGCUUACUCUUUAUCUGUCCAUUAAACUUUGAAACCUAGUUCCCACCAAAAUAGUCUGGCAAUAAAAUGACACAACUAGGAUAGGAUUGGCAUGGCAGAAGCAAAAUCUUUAUAUGUAGAUGAAAUGAUCAUAUACAGAGAAAAUACUAAGAAACCUCUAGGAGCCCCUAGAACUUGUACUUGAAUUUAGCAGGAUUAGAAAACACAAGGUAUAUAUAAAAAUUCAGGUCUGUGUAUACUUGUUAUAAAUGAAGAAUUGGAUAUUGAAAUUUAAAUGUCAUGUAGGAGUACAAAGGACCUAGAAAAGUUAAAAACAAAAACAAAAACAGUGUUGGAAGAAGUUUGUUACCUAAUUUUAAGAUUUCUUCUAAAGCUACAGUAAUCAAGGCAGUGUUGGUGUAAGGAAAGACAUAUAGAUCAUUGGAAUAAAACAGAGAAUCUAGAAAUAGAACCACACUUAUAUGGUCCACUGAGUUUUGAAAGACUGUUUAACAUUAGCAUUUUAUAGAAUAUAAACUCAAUUCAAGAGCCGAGGAAGAGACAGUGUUUGCAGCAAACAGCACUAGAACACCUGGCAUCCGUAUAUAAAAAAUUAACCUCAACCUUUUUUAUCCAUACAUGAAAAUAACUUGAAGGGAUCUAUGAACCUAAAUAAAAAAGCCUAAAAGUAUAAAACUUUAAGAAGAAAUUAUAAGGGAAAAUAUUUAUGAAUUGAGGGUAGGCAAGAGCUAACUAGGAUACAAAAGACAUGAUGUACAAAAGAAAAAAAUUGAUAAAUGAGAUUCCAUCAAAAUUUAGAACUUUAAAAGACAUCAUUAAAAUGAAGAGUAGUCCUUAAACAGACCAUACUUACAAUGCAUAUAACCUAUGAGCAGAAUAUAUAAAGAAGUCUUAGAGCUCAUUAACAGACAACCCAAUUAAAAUAUAGACGUAAGAAGAUGAUAAAUAGCCGGUAUAGCACAAGGAAUGGUGUGCAACUCUAGGAUCAGAAAAAUACUAAUCAGUACAAUAAUAAGAUUGAAUUAUACACUCAUUAGGGAGAUGAAGUCAAAAGUUUUAAAAGCCUUGUCAUGACUUUUCUUUUUGUUGGAUUCUCCCUCUUUGCGUUUAAUUUGUCAUGCCCAAUGGCUUCAUUCUGCUGGGUUUCCUGGGGUUGUGAUCUUCAUUGUCUUUUCCUAGGAUACUGGCUAAAAUUUUUUGGAGUGUUGGUUUGGCAUUCAUGAAGUUCCUGAGGUGCUCUUUAUCAUGAAAGCAUCUUAUUUCUCCAUCAAUUUUGAAAGAUAAUUUUGCAAGGUACAUUAAUCUGAGUUGGAGGCUGUUUUCCUUUAGGGCUUGAAAUACAUCACUCCAAGAUCUUCUUGCCUUGAGGGUUUGCAUUGAGAAGUCUGCUGUGAUUCUGAUGGGCUUUCCUUUGUGUGUAAUUUGUUUCUUUUCUCUCACUGCUUGUAGAAUCUUGUUCUUCUGUUGGAUUUCUGGAAUCCUAACUAUUAUAUGCCUAUGAGUAGAUUUUUUUUGAUGAAGGCUAGCUGGAGUCCUGUAUGCUUUCCUUAUUUGUAUAUCAAGAUCUUUUCUCCUCCUUGGAAAGUUUUCUGCCAUCACUUCUGUGAAGAGUUUUUUAUGUCAUCUGCACUCUCUUCUCUUUCUUCAUUGACUCCAAUCAGUCUUAUGUUAUUCUUCUUUGCAUCGUCUAGCAGCUGCUGGAUUGAUUUCUCGUGUUCCCUUACAAUUUUAAAGCAAUUUUUCUUUUCCUCCUCACUAAUUGCAAUCUUAUCUUCUAUAUCUGAAAUUCUAUCCUCACAUUGUUUCAUUCUGCUGUGCAGACUUUCGAUGGAGUUUUUAAUCUCUUGGAAAUCUGUUUGCAUCUGUUUUAUGGAUUCCAUUUGUUUCCUAUAUUGGGAUUCCAUCAUGUUCCUCAGAUCCUCUAUUUUUUAUUUGUGUCCUCUCUACAUUUAUUAAUCAUGUCUUGCACCAUGAACAAAAUCUUUGCUGUUAUCUGAGUAAUUAUUUCUGAUUUCAUUUUUCCGAGAUCCUCUUUCGUUGCCAGUUCAGAGAGUCCAGGUGUUUGAGUAUCAGAUUGUUUCAUCUCUUUUCCUUUUGGGGUUGCUGUAGGUGAUCUGGAAGUCUGUUUUUGAGGCUUCUUUAUAUGUCUUCUCAUUUCUGGGGAGGGGGGGUGUUUCUGGCACCCAUGCAGCUUACCUUCUCUGCCCUAGGAGCUUGGGAUGGCAGGGGGGGAGCUUCCUUCCAGGUUCUGGUACCAGCUCAGCUUCUCUGCCCUAGGAGCCUGGGAUGGAGGUGGGGAGCUUCCUUCUGGGUGCUGGGACCAGUGGAGCUUCUCUGCCCUGGGAGCCUUUUAGAAGUUUCAGCCCUUGCAUGGAAGAGCAAAUGGUUGGAAGGCCUGGGUGGUGGAAAGCUGCUUCAGUCAUGGUAUUACAGAAGCAAAGAGCAAGAGAAUAAGGGAGAUAGAUAAACCCUUCUAGGUCACGCCUCUAGUUAUUUGCUUAUUUUGACCAGAGUGUACCUCCUAACUGCCUUUAGCUAUCAACUCAUGGGUGGACUGAUCUACCCAUGAGUGUAGCAUCCUAAGAUCCUAAUAGUAUAGGGGGAAUAGAUCUAACUCCCAAACCUGCUAGAUGUCUGAUGCACUGAGUUUAGGUUCCUCACAAUCAAAGAAUGAAUCUGAGGAAAGAUGGAGAUUAAGAGUAGGAAAUUUUAUUGAGGGAGAGAGAGUUCCUGAGAGACAAGAGAGGACCCGGAACAUGGGUUACCCUCUCAGUUCUAAUUUGAUUCUGUGCCUGUUAAUACAAUGUUUAUCAUAAAUGAAAAAAGUUUUACACUUGUUUUUGUUUUGGUUACUAUCUCUCAGAAUAUCUUUGACCAUGCUUUUACGAUCAUAAUAUACAAUACACUAACCAUUACUAUUCUCUCAUUAUUUCAUUAUGAAAUUUUGGGUUUUUUCAUAGAAGCAAUAAGAAAUUUUUUAAUAUAUUCUGGUUUAAUAUCUACUUAUAUUAAAAUUUUAAAAAUGGAGUGGAGUAAAAUCUUAAAAAGUAUGUCUGUGUAUUUUUAUAGAUCUUUUGGGAUGGUGUGUCAGUUUUAACAAAUGUAAAGGGAUAAACCUUGGUAUGUUUGACAUGUGCCUCACUAAUUAUAACUUAGUUUUUUACAUAGGUGACUUCAAAAAGUAAAAUUUGUUUGCUUUUGAAAUUAUAUUUCUUCUUCAUUAAUGGUUGCCAGUCAAGUGUCUUUGAUCUUUAGAACAUUUUGUAGGAAACAGAGAUUGUUUAUUGUGGCUGAGGUAGUAUUUAGUCAGCUCUUGUUUCCAUUUUAAUUACAUUCCCAGCUGGCUUGUUUUCUGUCAAGAGAUAAUUUUAUAAAAUGCUUAAAAAAUAAACAACCACUUAUUAUAGUAAAAUUAUGCCAGAAAUUAGUUCAGUGAAAUUCUCCAGGUAGUUAACUGCGAUAUUUGAUAGUUACAGAAUGGCAGGUGUCUUUGUUUUUCACAGCAUGAAAUUUUUUUUAAAGCAAAUCAACUGUCCUCUCAAUUAAAACAAAUUAAAAAAAAAAAAAGAAACUGCCUUUACUGGUGCAUAGUAAUUGUGCCCUCAAAGUUACCAGCCCUUGUAUAUGUUUCUAUUAAGAAUCAGAAAUACACUAGCUUACAUUUCCAUCAACAAUGCAAAAGGGUUCUUUUUUCUACACAGCCUCCCCAGCAAUUGUUAUUACAUGAUUUCUUGAUGAUGGCAUUCUUUCUGAGGUAAAAUAGAACGUCCCUUUUGGUUAACCAAUCUAAACCAGUAUAAACCAGUCCAAGUCAGUAUAAAGACUCUUCAAAAAAGUAAAACUAGAAAUUUCUUUUGACCCAGAUAUUCUCCUUCUAGAUAUUUUCCCCAAGGAGUUAAGGACAUCAUACCCCACAGUGAUACAUGAAUCCAUAUAUAGAUUGUGUUUAAAACUAUAGGAAGAGAUGUAGAUAGAGACUAGGCUGGAGUUCACCAGUGGGUUGGGAAGGAAGAGUCACUGAGAUCAAAGGAGAGAAGGGUCUGUUUCCAGAAGAAGCACAUAUAACUAUGUACAGUACACAGUACUAGAUAGUGUGAUAAAUGACUGUUACUGUUUUAGGUACUUAUCAUAACAGGCUGUGCUUUUCAUCCUUUAGAGAAUAAUCCUACUUAUAUAAAAGAGUUUACUGUAAAACAGUGUGCUGCUAUGCCAGUGGUAGCCUUAUGUAUCUCAUAUUUAACUGCAUAUUUGGGUAAUAUCGAGGGGCCAUCACAGAUGAUUGAUAUAUACCUUCUCAGUUUGCACUUAGAAGCUAGUACUCUGAGUGGUACUUUGCGAUACACACAGAUGAAAUUUCCUAAUAACAUAUUUCUCAGAUUAUAUUUCAUUACAUGUCAUGAGACUGUAUUAAAAUUUAAAUUAAAAAAAACUUUGGCCUAUGUGGAGUCUACUAGCUAAUUAGAAUUAUUUUUUCCAGACUACUAUUUUUUUUUUUUUUUUUGGUACCAGAGAUUGAACUUGGGUCCCUGAACUUGCAAGGCAAGUGCCAGAUCCACUGAGCUAAAUUCUUGGCCUUGAAAAUCUUUCUAAAACAAAUCAUAUCCUUUGAUGUCUUGUUAAUGCUUGAGAUUUUUUUUUUUAAUUAUAUGGAAAACUGUUUAAGUACUUUUCAGUUUUUCUUUGGUUGAGUUCUAUUAUAUUUGAAUAUUAUUGUAUUUUUUUUCUCUUUCAUUGCUCUUCUUUGAAUAAUUUUAAUUUUUGUGUAUGUGUGUGUUUGGUGAAUCAUAAGAAAGCUAUAUAUUCAAAAAAAAUGUAUUUUCUCUACUUGAAAUUUUAAAACAUCUAAUCAAAGAAAUAAGAUGAUUUGGAAGAAGGAAAAUAACUGCAAACCCAAACCAAAAAAAAGAAUCCAAUUUUCUCACCUAUAUAUUAUGAGAAUUGAAAUACUUAUCUCCAUCAACUAUAAAAUCCUAGUUUUCUUUUAUUUGUAGUCUGAAGGAAGACUAUUUUCUCUCUUAUAAUUUUUCUACAAUUUCUCAAAUGUACCAUUCAAUUAUAAGGAUAUUGUUACAAUAUUUUACUUUUAUUUACUCUUAAAAUUAGCUUCUUAUGAAAUAAAUGCUCUCAGUGAACAUUUCUAAAAUAAAUCAAGAUAGUAGAGGGCACCAAUGAAGCAAAGCCAUCAUCCCAACAAGCUAUCCUCUACUCCAUCUUUAUCUGGCUUCCUUAAAUUCUUUUUUUUUCUUUUGUAUAUCCUUUUACUGGUACAUUUUGGGUGUGCAAUAUGACGUUAAUCAUUGGAGAUAUGCACCUUCACAUACCUCUUGGUUCUUAUUUUUCCCCCUUUCCCCUGCCCUCGCUUCAACCCCUCCAUUCCUCCCUAUUUACAAAGACUUUGUUUCCAUUUUUUCAUUUUCUCAUAUUAAUUUCAUUCCCUUCUUUCCUUUUCCCUAGCCCUCCCACUUCCCCCUCCCCGUUGCCCCUUUUCUUCCUAUUCCACAUCAUUUAUUACACCUUUUAGUCCUUAUUUACACUUUCAGUCUCUCACACUAGAGAAACUAUUUGGUAUUUACACUUGUGUGUCCUGUUUAUUUCACUUAAGAGUAUCGCAUCAGUGUGCAUCCAUUUAGCAAUAAACGUCUCUAAUUUCUCAUUAUUUAUGGCUGAGCAGUACUCCAUUUUAUUAAAAAAACACAUUUUCUUUAUCCAGUCUCCAGUUGAUGGGCAUUUGGGCUGUUUCCAAGUUUUAGCUAUCACAAACUGUGCUCCUAUGAACAUGGGUGCACAUAUAUCUAUCUCUGUGGUAUGAUUCUUUUAAUUCUUUGGAGAAGAUCCCCAGCAGUUAAAUAGCUGGGUCAAAUGGGACUUCCAGUCCUAGUUCUUUGAAGUAUCUCCAUGCUGAUUUCCACAGUGGUUGCAUCAGUCUACACUUCCACCAGGAGUGGAGCAGUGUUCCUCUUUCUCUACAGCCCCACCAGCGUUUGUUAUUGGUUGAUUUCAUGAUAGCAGGCAUUCUUUCUGGAGUGAGGUGGAAUCUCAGCGAUGUUUUCAUUUGCAUCUCUCGAAUGACCAGUGAUGUUGAACAUUUUUUCAUAUUUUUUUUGAUAUUUCUACUUCUUUGUGUGAGAAAUGUCUGUUUAUUUCAGAUGCCCAUUUUUGGAUUGGGUCUUUGAAUUUGGGGGGUCUGAUUUUUUUAAGUUCUUCAUAGAUUAGAGAUAGUAGACCUUUGUCUAAGGAACAGCAGGUGAAAAUUUUUUCCCACAUUGUGGGUUGUCUCUUCACACUGCUAGUGGUUUCUCUUGCUGUGCAGAAGCUUUUUAGUAAAAAGACAUCCCACUUGUUGAUUGUUUGUGCUAGUUCAUGGGCAACUAGGUUUUGUUCAUAAAGUCUUUUCCUACCCCAAUGUCUUGAAAAGUUCUACCUAACCUCUCUUCCAGCCAGUUCAGCAUUUUUGUUUUUAUAUUUAGAUCUUUAAUCCACUUCAAUUUUAGAUUAGUGAAUGGUGAGAGAUAUAGGUCUAGUUUUACUGUUUGGAAAGUUGAAACCCAAUUUCUCCAGCACCAUUUAUCAAAGAGACUACCUUUCCUCCAACAAGGGUGUUUGGCUUCUUUGUCAAAGAUGACGUGGCUGAGUGUGUCUGAAAUUGUUUCUGCAUCUUCUAAUCUGUUCCACUGGUGUUCAGGUCUGUGUCUUUGCCAGUACCAUGCUGGUUUUUUCAUAGUAGCUUUGUAGUAUAGUUUCAAGUUUGGGGUUGUAAUACCCCCUGCCAUGUCUCUAUUAUCUAGAAUUGCUUUUGCUAUUCUGAGUCUCUUCUUGUUCCAAAUGAAUUUUUGGAUUAUUUUCUCAAGGUCUAUGAAGUAUGCUGCUGGGAUUUCAAUUGGGAUUGCAUUGAAUCUAUAGAGUAAUUUUGGAAGUAUAGCCAUUUUCACUAUGUUGAUCCUUCCUACCCAGGAGCAAGGGAUGGCUUUCCAUUAUCUAAUAUCCCCUUCAAUAUCUUUUUUCAAAGUGCUAUAGUUUUCAGAGAAGAAGUCUUUGACUUCUUCUGUUAGGUUGAUUCCUAGGUAUUUCAGUUUUUUGGAUGCUCUUGUGAAAGGAAUUGUUUGCCUUAUUUCUCUCUCAGUGAGUCUGUUGUUCAUGUAGAGGAAAGCUAUUGAUUUUUGUGUGUUGAUCUUGUAUCCAGCUACUUGAAUGAAUUUGGUUAUUAAGUCUAGAAGAAUUUUGGUGGAGUUCUUGGUGCCUUCUACAUAGAGUAUCAUGUCAUCUGCAAAUAAUGAUAAUUUGACUUUUUCAUUUCCUAUCUUUAUUCCUUUUAUUUCUUUCUCUUGUCUCAUUGCUGUGGCUAAGGUUUCCAAAACUAUAUUGAACAAGAGUUGUGAUAGGGGACAUCCUUGUCUUGUUCCUGAUUUUAGUGUGAAGGAUUUCAGUUUUUGACCAUUUAGUAUGAUAUUGGCUGUUGGUUUUUCAUAGAUGGCUUUUAUCAGAUUGAGGUAGAGACUUUCUAUUUCCAUUUUUUGUGAGGUUUUCAUCAUAAAUGUGUAUUGGAUUUUAUCAAAUGCUUUUUGUGCAUCUAUUGAGAUGAUCAUAUGGUUUUUGUCCCUGGCUCUAUGGAUAUAGUGUAUUACACUGAUUGUUUUGUGUAUGUUGAACCAUCCCUGCAUUCCUGGGAUGAAUCCCACUUGAUCAGGGUGUAUGAUCUUCUUGAUGAUCUUCUGCAUUCUGUUUGCCAGUAUCUUAUUAAGGAUUUUUGCAUCUAUGUGCAUUAGUGAGAUUGGUCUUUAGUUCUCUUUUUCAGUUGGGUCUUUCUCUGCUUUGGGGAUCAAGGUGAUGCUUGCUUUCAGGAAUGAAUUUGGGAGUAUUGCUUCUCUUUCAAUUUCAUUGAAGAAUUUAAACAGUAGUGGCAGCAGUUCCUCUCUAAAUGUCUUGUAGAAGUCAGCAGUGAAGCCAUCAGGGUCCGGGUUUUUCUUACUUGAUAAGUUUUUAAUUACAUUUUCAAUUUCAUUGAUUGAUAUUGGGUUGUUCAGAAUUUUUAGGUCUUCUUCAUUCAACUUUGGUAAUUCAUAUGUAUCUAGGAAUCUGUCCAUUUCUUCUGUGUUGUCCAUCUUAUUGGCGUAUAGGUUCUGGAACUAGGUAUUGAUGAUUCUCUGGAUUUCUGCUGGGUCUGUUGUAAUUUCACUCAUUUCAUUCCUAAUUGCAUGGAUUUGGGCCCUUUCUUUCCUUUUUCUGACAAGGUUGGCUAAGGGUUUGUCAAUUUGGUUGAUUCUUUUGAAGAACCAACUCUUGACUUCAUUGAUUUUUUGUAUCAUUCUGUUAGUCUCCAUUACAUUGAUUUCUCCUCUGAUCUUUAUAAUGUCUUCCCUAGUAUGAGCUCUGGGGUUGUCCUACUCUUCCUUUUCUAGAAGCUUGAGGUUCAGCAUGAGGUUGUUUAAUUGGGUUCCUUCUGUUUUCCUAAUAUGUGUAUCCACUGCUAUGAAUUUCCCUCGUAAGACUGCUUUCAUUGUGUCCCAUAGAAUCUGAUAUGUUGUAUUGUCAUUGUCAUUUAAUUGAAGGAACUGUCUGAUUUCUUCUUUAAUUUCCUCUGUGACCCAUUGGUUAUUCAGAAUUGUGUUGUUCAGUUUCCAUGUGUUUAUGAAAUUUUUUGAGUUUCUUUUGCUAUGGAUCUCCAAUUUCAAUGCACUAUGGUCUGAUAAUAUACAGGGGAUAACUUCAAUUCCUUUGCACUUACCUAAAUAAUGUUCUAUGUGGGAGUAUGUGGUCUAUUUUGGAGAAUGACCCAUGUGUAGCUGAGAAGAAUAUGUAUUCUGAUUUUGUAGGGUGAAAGACUCUGUAAACAUCUGUUAAGUUCAUUUGUUCAAGAGUUCGAUUGAGUUCUAGUAUUUCAUUACUUAUUUUUAGUCUAGUUGAUCUAUCUAUUUGUGUCAGUGGGGUGUUGAGGACCCCCACUACAAUUGUAUUAAUGCAUAUAUGACUUUUCAUGUUCGUUAGUAUUUGUUUUAUAUAGUUGGGUGCACUAGUGUUUGGUGCAUAGAUAUUUAUGAUUGUCAUCUCUUCCUCUUGGAUUCUUCCCUUUAUAAGGAUGUAGUGUCCUUCUUCAUCUCUCUUAAUCAGUGUUGGUUUGAAAUCUACUUGAUCUGCAAAGAGGAUAGCUACUCCUGCUUUUUUUCAGGUUCCUGUCACAUGGAGUAUUGUUUUCCACCGUUUAACUUUCAGUCUAUGAAUUUCCUUUUGAAUUAAGUGUGUUUCUUGUAUGCAACAUAUUGUUGGAUUUUGCUCCUUGACCCAUUCUGCCAGUCUGUUUCUUUUGAUUGGUGAAUUGAGACCAUUAACAUUGAUGAUUAUAACUGAAACGUAUUGACUUGUCAUUACCAUGACUUUUUCUUUUUGUUGGGUUCUCACCCUUUACAUUUAAUUUCUUGUUGUGCCAGAUGAGUUCAUUCUUCUUUGCUUCCUGGGGUUGUGAUCCACAAUGUCUGUUCCUAGGAUUUUGUGUAAAAUUCUUUGGAGUGCUGGUUUGGUAUUCACGAAGUUCCUAAGGUGCUCUUUGUCAUGAAAGUAUCUUAUUUCUCCAUCCAUUUUGAAAGAUAGUUUUGCAGGGUACAUCAAUCUGGGUUGGAGGCUGUUUUCUUUUAGGGCUUGAAGUAUAUCACUCCAAGCUGUUCUUGCCUUGAUGGUUUGUGUUGAGAAGUCUGGUGUGAUUCUGAUGGGCUUUCCUUUGUAUGUGAUUUGUUUCUUUACUCUGACUGCUUGGAGAACUUUGUUUUUCUGUUGUGUUUCUGGAAUCUUAACAAUUAUAUGCCUAUGUGUAGAUUUUUUUUUGAUCAAGGCUAUUUGGAGUCCUAUAUGCCUCACUUAUCUGUAUGCCAAGUUCUUUUCCCCUGCUUGGGAAGUUUUCUGCCAUUAUUUCUGUGAAGAGAUUUUUUAUGUCAUCUCCACUGUCUCCUGUUUCUUCAUUGAGCCCAAUCAGUCUUAUUCUUCUUUGCAUUAUCUAGUAGCUGCUGGAUUGAUUUCUCAUGGUCCCUGACUAUUUUUAAGCAAUUUUUCUUUUCCUGGUCACUAAUUGCAAUCUUAUCUUCUAUACCUGAAAUUCUGUCUUCACAUUGGCUCAUUCUGCUGUGUAGACUUUCAAUGGAAUUUUUUAUCUCCUGGAAAUCUAUUUGCAUCUGUUUUAUGGAUUCCAUUUCUUUUUUAUGUUGGGAUUCCAUCAUGUUCCUGAGCUCCUCUCUAGAUUUAUUAAUCAUGUCUUGCACUAGGGGCACAAUUUCUCCUGUUAUCUGAGAAAUUAUUUUUUAUUUCACUUUUUCCAGAUCUCCUUUUGUUGCCAGUUCAGUGAGUCCAGGUGGUUGAGUAUCAGAGUGUUCUAUCUCAUUUCCCUUUGGGGUUGCUGUAGGUGAUCUGGAAGUCUGGUUUUGUGACUUACUUACAUGUUUUCUCAUUUUGACUGGGGUGGGGGGCUGUUAGCGCCUGCACAGAUUACCUCCUCUGAGCUGGGAGGGGUGGGACAGGUGCCAGGAGCAGCAACAGGGACGGUGACCCAAUAGCUCUUUCCUGUGGGCUGGGAGCAGCGGGAGAGAUGGUGGCUGGGAAGCCCCUUCCUCUGGACCAGGAGCAGUGGGAUGGUGGUUCAGAAGCCCCUACCUCUUGGCUGGGAGCAGCGGGACUCAGUACCUUGGUCUGGUGGUCUGGUGUCCUCUGCAUCUUUGUAGUGUGGAACCAGGUGGCUGCCUGUCUGCAGCAGGGUAAUGUGGCAUCUUCCAUGUGACUGGGGACCUUGGUAGGGCCUGCCUGUGUUUAUUAUUGAAAUAUUGCUUUAAGAUGUAUUUUUGUGGAAGAACAACAAUAAUUCCAAGACAUAAAAUAUUUAUCCUUUCUUAAAUUGUCUACAACCAAUUUGCUGACUACUGGUGAAGUCUAUUAGCAAGCACAAUUAAGUUUAUUUACAGUAGAAUCUCAUUUAUAUACAAUAAAAGAGAGACAUUCUGAAACAUAAUUGACGAACUGCGCAGGAAUGAAAUGACGGCUUGAUAAAUCAUCCCACUCUAUUUAACUGACUGAGAGAGCAUGAUUCAACAUCUACAAACAGAAAAUAAAUCACUCUCUUCAUAUAACACAAUUGUUUAAAUCAUUUCACUUGUGGUGAAUAUACUUAAAUCUCAAAGCACAACAAGUAGAAGGAGAAUUGUAUUGUGUAGAGAAUAUAUUAGCUACUUUGGUUUCCAGAAAUUUAAAAUAAAGAUGUUACACUGGUACACAACUGUUAUAUCAUUUGAAUUUUAUUUCAAAGCUUUAUCUCUAAGUAGUCAAAUUCAGAAAUAUCCCCCUUUCUUGAGUCAAGAAGUGACUUAAUUUUAUAUUUUAUGCAAGCACUUCCUGUGUUCUUUGCAAGUCAUACUAUAAAAGCUUCUGUAUGUUAACAUGAAGAUGUUCUCCUAAUGUAUUACAAUUUUAUUAAAUUUCAAUUUUAUGAAGAGCUACAUACAGGGGAAGAAUAGAAAAAUGAUGUGGAUAUCACAAAAAUUGAAUCUGACUUUUUGGCAUCAAACUGUCAAGUAUAUUUUAAAGCUUACACUGAAGGUAAAACUAUGACAAUUGUUAAUUUAGCAUUUCAAAAUACCAUAUUCCUUUUUCUCCACUGUAUUUGUUUCUAGUCCUGCCUUAACAGUUAAAUGUAGUAGCUAAAAACACAAAUCUAUUGCCUCAGGGUUCUGCAGGUUAGACACACAAUUCAGGUCUCCUGUGAUAGAAGCAGAGCAUCAACAACAGGCUCUGAGCGUCAACUUCCAGGCUUACUCAAAUUGUUGCUAAACCUUGUUUUUUGUGGUUGUAGGAAUGAAAUGGCAUUUCCUUACUGAUUGACACCUGAAGUCACUCUAUGCCUCUGUAGGCCACCUACAUUUCUUGUUUCAUGUCCACCUACCUCCAAGGACUUUGACUGUAUCUCAUUUUUCUGACUCACUUCCUCUCUCUUUCAUUUUUAGGGACUCAUAUGACUAGACUGAAAUCACAAGAAUGCUUUAAGAUUAUACCUUGAAGUGAAAAUUAUUUGUUCUAAUCACAUCUACAAAGUCUCUGUUGCCAUAUAAGGUAACAUAUUCACAAGUUUUUUGGGGUAAGGACAUAAGUAUCUUUAAAAGAGACUAUUUUAUUUACUCCACAUCCCCUGAGAAUUUCUAAAAUUUCCUUUCUACUCUACUACUACCUCUAGUAUGUAAUAGUCUCUCAAAACACCGAAGAAUAGUAUUAUGUUACAGUAAUAAAGAGAUAAAUUACAGAUCACCUAAAUCAUACUGAAAAUAUUUACCUAUUCAGUUUCAAGGCACUAUAAGACAGCAAGUGAAAAGGAUUCCCUCUCUUUCCCUGCAUAUUUAUAAAAGGGAGAAUUAGAAAACAUUAAAUUCUCUAUAAAACAGAGAAAACAAUAAAUAUGACAAAAGGCAAAAAAUAGAAACAAAGUCUUUGUAAAUAGGGAGG
rnacentral:lncRNA from 1 species